CCCCGCUCCCGGCUGCCAGCGGAGGCGGGGCCACCGCCGGGCGGGCCCGGCUGCGCCGAGCGGGGCCGGCGGCGCCCGAGUGGGUGGCUCCACCAAGAGAUGGGAUCAUGACCAAAGGAUCAGAACAAGCAGCAGCUGGGUCCUCUCUUUGAACUGGCAUUUUACCAGAAUAGAUGCUCAUCAGAUUAUGCCUCUGGAAUCUGUGACUCAUCUUGCCCUCGAUUGAAUUACUUUAGAUGAUCUGUAAAUUUUCAAUAAUGGCAAUACAUUCAUUCUGCCAUUUGGAGGAGCCUGUGCCACAGAAUAAUGAUCUGAAGAAAGCUCACUUAUUUGCAAGGAAGAGUCUUCAUUUGGGGAUUAGCACUGAUGCAGCUCAAGGGUGCUUUUUCAAGUCCGGGUCCUUGACAUUCAGUGGGAUGGGAAUCUCAGAACUGACUACUGGGGACUCCCAAGCUACAGAUCAGAAACCAUUUUGGUAGGUGUGGGUUGCUUGUCAGAGAUCCGUUCCGAAGCUUGAGUGCAAAGGAAGCAGGGUACUAAUGAUGAAUAAGAAUGGAUAUCUUGAGGAUAACAAUGGAGAUGACAUCUUCAAAAGCAGUGGCAUUCUGGGCCUAGUCCUGCCACUGGGUUUGUUCAAAUGGACCUCGAUAGCCUGGGGGCCUGAUGAAGCUCAUGGGACUCUGCACGUUCUCACUCUGAAGAUCUGGUUGUAGGCUUGAACCUAAAUUUCUAUUUUGUUCUCCUUCUAUUUGCUUCUUAAAUGAUGAAAAUUAUCCUUUAAAAUUAUGUCUUUGAGUCACACACAUCCACUUUAGUAGUGUCCAGACAUUGUGUGCUUGGGAUGGUGUCAGACAUUGUUAAAAUAUUUCUGUUCUGUUGUGUGUCUAAACGUAAUGAUUGCUCUGAUUAUUGUGUUAGAUUUUUACAUUUAGUGACUUUCUACCUAAAAUGGAGGAGAUUAUCACCUGUGUUUUUAAUCAUUGUGGUAUUUCUCUUAACUCAGAUUUUUAAGUCAGAGUAACUGUUAAAACUGUUCAGAUUAUUUUAAAGAUGUAGGUAGAUUUGUUUAUUUCUUGCUGGACACAAAGUAUAAUACUUUAUUUGCAAACUUGGUAGCCCAGUAUUACUGAAAGCUUUCAAUGUGAUGAUACUCUGAUGUAAUAAAAUAAGUAGGAAUAGACAUUACCUUUUACUAGCUCUCCUGUUGCUUUUCUAUUCCUGUGGCUGUGGUUACACAACAUGCAACUGAGAGUGAAGAUAUUUCUAUUUUUUGUGAGCCAGUGAAUACCUUUGGUUGACAAUGAGUGCUGUUCCCUGUCCUGUUCCAUGUUGCAGUUUCACUGAGUACUAAAGCUGUAGCCCUGAUAGAAGCUAUAGAAAAGACUUUGAAAAAUCACAUAUAGAGUGUGAUUACAAAUAUAGAGUGUGAUAAGGAAAAAUAGAUGUGUUCGACCUCUAUACAUGUUAGUAUUUACAUUGUAUAUAUUUUUAAAGCAAGUAUACUUGCUUUAAAAAUAUAUUGUAUAUGAUAAUUAAGAGAUUAAAAGAUCCCAAACUUCUUUCUAUAUAGAGAAUCAGAAAAACUUUGUUUUUGUAGGCUUGUUACAGUGUUAUUAAGGAACUUCACAGUGUUUGAUGAAUUUCUGCAUAUUCAGAAUAGAAAAGCACCAUUGUCCUGUUAGACCAAGGAGAAAACUGAGCCACUUGUUUAGUCAGUAGUAAAGUCAAUGAUAUGAAAUGGAUUCUCCUGCCUUUUAACCUUGUGCCUCCGGCUCCGUUUUUCCCCUCAAGACCCAAACCUUCCCUUGUCAUCAUCUGCUUUGCAUUUCUAUGUGAAAGGCCCAAGGUGCUUCUGUUUGGACUCCCAGAAAAAGAGGAAGACAAGGUUGGUUGGCCAUCUGCCAAGGUGUGAGGUCUGACUCGCUCCUUGCUCACGGGGGCUGCUGGUGAAGGCAGAGGCAGAACUGAGUGUUCUGUGUGGCAUCAACUGCCUUAACCACAUGCCCACUGCUGUCUUCCUGUAGUUGUCUGUCUUGUUCUUGGCAUAACUCCUAAAGACAACACGUAUACCAACCAAGAAAUAAUCUAAUUUGAUGCACAGCCCUGAUUCACUUCCUGAGCUGUGUCCUGCACACACGGCCGCAGUCCCGUGGAAAAACUCAGCACAGUGCACGAGGCCACAGAGUAAGGCUCUGAAGUGUUUAAACUUUGCAAUGAAAGUUUAAACUUUCACUUUUAAUGUCACUUAUUAUAGCUAUAGCUUGAACAAAAGAAAAAUGAAAGCUUUUAGAGCAGGUUGUAACCAAUUCGUUUCUAGCACGUGAAUGUGAAUAUCCAGCUCCGUGAAACACAGAACAUCAGCUGAUGGGAGGAGGCUGGCCUCCUCCAGGGAGGAAGGGAAGGAAGAAGGAUGGCUGCUUAACACCAUAGGUAUAUCCAAUUUGCUUCCAAGUCUCAGGGACUAUUUAUGGAGUGUUGACUCCAGCUCUUUAGCUUUUGUUUUCUCUUCUGAAUUCCCACCCCUAAAAAAUAGCUCCUCCAGAGGUUCUCAGUGCAAUAGACAUUUGGGGGUGUUGCUGUAGUUUGCUAAUAAUAUAAAUGAAGGAACAGAAGUCAAAGGUGGGAUUUUCUCCCAUGUUUUCCGGUUGAAAAAUAAGAGGAGAUGCUCCCUGUUCUCUCCACAAUGAAUUUCAGGGGCUAUCCUUCUGAUCCUUGAUCUCACAAAUAGAUGGCAAAAACUUUAAUGAUAGGAAAUGCUGCUCUUGGCUUACAGCUUUAAUCUUCUUCCUGAAGAAGUUGUAGUGGCCUGCUGUGUUUGCAAGCUACAAAGGAUAUGUGUGUAGGCUCCCGUGCAAGAGCAAUUGUGUUGGGAACACAAGCUCAUCGUGUUAUCUUUUAUGUUAGAAUUUGGUGGCAUAUUAAGUUUUUUUUCAGAGAAACCUUGCCAGACCAUGGUCUGAGUUUCAGUUUUUGUUAAUGUCUAUGGAUGGUGCUUGAGUUUGGUCACCAUACCUAGUGAUUUGCUAUGAGGAAAACAAAACAAUCUCAAGCUUUGGUUUUGCUUAUUUUUCUCUGGGAUAUGCAGUCUUUUCUCUCAAGUCAUGCAGCAAGUUCCUGUAAAAAGAACUGGUGGGAAUACUGUUAGGGAAAAUUUGGUCAACCCAUUCACCGAAAGUCAUAAAAAUCAAAAUAUUUGCAAAAGUAUUCAUUAAAUAAAAAUGAAAACCCUGAUUUUAGUACUGAUUUUGUUUUAAAAUAAGGAUCAGUCUUCAACAUUUCAUAGCUGUGGAAAAAUGGUGGGAAUGGGACAAAAGAGUCUUAAUAGGCAGAAUCACGUUAAGUCUGUAUCUCAGCUCAACACUUUGUAUCGUGAAACCAUGGCCUGAAACUGCUGCCUGUCAUAUCAGAUAAUGUUAUCACUGAUUUACAUUACUUCAUCUUACCUGCCUUUUGUAAUCUUUUAGCAGGGAUCAGUGGUUUUUUCUGUGUUUUGUGUGUCUUCUUUUGGUUUGGGGUUGGGUUUUUUUUUACCAGCACCUAACAGCCCUGAUCCAUGAUUUGGCUUCUAGGUACUAGGAUAAUACAAGCAGUAAUCAUGCUUGCUGCUGAAAAUUUUCUAUCUUAUUUCAUUUGCAUUUGUUUGCCUUCAGCUUCCAGUCAUUGAUUCUUGUUAUGCCUUCUCUGAUGGAUUAAAGAGCUCUUUAGGACUCCCUGUUUUCUCCCCAGGAAGAUGCUUUUACUCUGUAAUCAAGUUACUUCUCAAUAUUUUUUGUUGUUGUUUGUUUGUUUUAAGAAAAAGCUAAACAGAUUGAGCUUUUUAGGGUUCUCAUUAUUUUUUCACAUUCUUGAAUGAUUUUUAGGCUCUUUUCUAUCCAUAAAACUGUGGUACUAGUCACAUACACAGAAAUAAAAUUACUUCUCUAGUUCUUCUUGUGUUAGUAUGGUUAGAAAUUGGUGUUAUUGCAAGGUCAGAUAAAAAUAACCCUACCUAAUAUGACUUCUACACAUCUGAGUGUAGUUAUUAGAGGACAGAAAAGGAUGGAUGAUUUAAAAAAUAUUAAAAUAUUUUUAAAGAUCCACAAAUAAGCAAAAGUGGGUGUGCAGGAGGGAUGCCUAAAAUAUUUAUGUUAAGGUUUUUAAGGAGCUAGAAGUGAAAAGAAAAAUAAUUUUAAUUGUAAAUCAACAAUAAUCUAUCAAAACUUAAGUGCUAUGUUUAGCAGAGUAAUACAUACUUGCAGAAAUUUUGUAGGAUUGAAUGAAAAAUGUUUGUUAUUAACACACUGUUGUGGGUCACUGGAAAUAGAUACUGUAAGUGGAUGUGAAUAUACAUAUCCCUUACAUCCAUUUAAUCCUAUUAAGUAGCCACUUGCUUAUAUUUGGAAACCCAAGAACAGUUAUGUGAUCUGUUAUGCUGAAAUAGAAGAAAUAACAUAGUAUUAAGAGUUCCUUUUGUUAUAAAAGUUGCCACUAUUAAGUCAUAUAAAAGUUCAAACAAGCAAAAUCCAGAGCUUCAAAGAGGCUCUUGGAAGUUUUAGUGCUUCCGUAUUUCUUUCCAAAGGGAUGGCUAUUUCUUUUCAUUUGCAUCCAUACUUUGGGACAAGGUUAAGUUAAAUUUACACGAAGGAGACUAAUCAGAUGCCUGUCUGGUCAAAACAUCUCAGCCCACCCAAUGACUUUCAUGCACAUCAUGCAUACAAGCAUCUGAAUUGAAUCUGCACUUGCAGCCCCACACUUAUCCCUCCUGGAAACCAUCAGAUUUUCAUUAAAUUCAACUUAAGACUGUUUAAAGUCCUAGUGCUGUGCAUUAGUUUAAUGCAGGUUUGUCUAAUGUUGUGUCUGACAAAACUUUGAGGUCACCACAUUGACUUUCUGUCCGAGCUGACUUGAGUUUUGACUUUGAAAAGAAGGCAUCUUUCCAUUGUGGCAGCAUUCCCUCUGUGAAAUUUGGGGCGUAUUCCACAAGGGUCUUCAUUUGUUUCAGCAAAAUGAAAGUUCAUGGAAACAUGGUAAAUGAGCAAGGAAUGAGAUUUAAAGUAAUGCAAGAGAAUUAGAAUGCUUUAAAAUUUGUGGAAAAGAGGUAAAGGCAAACAAGAACUGAAUAGAAAGCCAAAUGGCCUCUAGUUCAGAAAGUACUAAACGAAAUAGAUUUUGACUACAAGUUUGUGUGUGUUAAUGAAAAAGUUAUUAUUAAGAUUUUGGCAACACUGGGUGGCUUGGGGUAGAAGUUGUCCCCGUGCAAUGAUGAGCUCGCAGAGCCCUUUUCAAAACAACCAUAUGCUGUUGGAAAAGGCAAGAGAAGUGGACAUUUCCUUGGAUGUUUUUUGGUAUCACAGGCUUAGUCAGUGUAAAGUAUGUGAUUUCUUAC